rnacentral:rRNA from 1 species
AGAAACUUAAAGGAAUUGACGGGGCCCGCACAAGCGGAGGAACAUGUGGUUUAAUUCGAUGAUACGCGAGGAACCUUACCUGGGCUAGAACGCAUUCGGAAUCAGGCCGAAAGGCCUGCGCCAGCGAUGGCCGCUUGCGAGGUGCUGCAUGGUUGUCGUCAGCUCGUGCCGUGAGGUGUCGGGUUAAGUCCCAUAACGAGCGCAACCCCUACUGCUAGUUGCCAGCGGGUCAUGCCGGGGACUCUAGCGGAACUGCCAGCGUAAGCUGCGAGGAAGUGGGGAUGACGUCAAAUCAGCACGGCCCUUACGUCCAGGGCUACACACGUGUUACAAUGGCCGGUACAGAGGGCAGCCACCCCGCGAGGGGGCGCGAAUCCCGAAAGCCGGUCCCAGUUCGGAUCGGAGUCUGCAACCCGACUCCGUGAAGCUGGAUUCGCUAGUAAUCGCGCAUCAGCCACGGCGCGGUGAAUACGUUCCCGGGCCUU